rnacentral:rRNA from 1 species
ACGGAAGGCAGCAGUGAGGAAUAUUGGUCAAUGGACGAGAGUCUGAACCAGCCAAGUAGCGUGAAGGAUGACUGCCCUAUGGGUUGUAAACUUCUUUUGUUUGGGAAUAAAGUGAGGUACGUGUACCUUAUUGUAUGUACCAUUCGAAUAAGCAUCGGCUAAUUCCGUGCCAGCAGCCGCGGUAAUACGGAAGAUGCGAGCGUUAUCCGGAUUUAUUGGGUUUAAAGGGAGCGUAGGCGGGCUAUUAAGUCUGUGGUUAAAUGUCCAGGCCCAACCUGGUCAUGCCAUGGAAACUGGCAGUCUUGAAUACACACAAGGAAGGUGGAAUUCGUCGUGUAGCGGUGAAAUGCUUAGAUAUGACGAAGAACUCCGAUUGCGAAGGCAGCCUUCUGGGGUGCGAUUGACGCUGAGGCUCGAAAGUGUGGGAAUCAAACAGGAUUAGAUACCCUGGUA